rnacentral:rRNA from 1 species
GACAGAGGAUGCAAGCGUUAUCCGGAAUGAUUGGGCGUAAAGCGUCUGUAGGUGGCUUUUUAAGUCCGCCGUCAAAUCCCAGGGCUCAACCCUGGACAGGCGGUGGAAACUACCAAGCUGGAGUACGGUAGGGGCAGAGGGAAUUUCCGGUGGAGCGGUGAAAUGCGUAGAUAUUGGAAAAGACCACCAAUGGCGAAGGCACUCUACUGGGCCAUUACUGACACUGAGAGACGAAAGCUAGGGGAGCGAAUGGG